rnacentral:snRNA from 1 species
AUGCUCACUUUGGCAGCACAUAUACUAAAAUUGGAGCAAUACAAAGAAGAUUAGCAUGGCCCCUGCGCAAGAAUGACAGGCAAAUUCAUCAAGCACGCCAUAUUUUU